UACAGAGGGUGCGAGCGUUAUCCGGAAUUAUUGGGCGUAAAGCGUCCGCAGGUGGUCUACUAAGUAGGAUAUUAAAGCCAACGGCUCAACCGUUGUAAAGUGUCCUAAACUGGUAAACUAGAGACUCAUAGAGGUACGUAGAAUUCUGCAUGUAGGGGUAAAAUCCGUAGAUAUGCAGAGGAAUACCAAAAGCGAAAGCAGCGUACUGGAUGAGUUCUGACACUCAGGGACGAAAGCGUGGGGAGCAAACAGG
rnacentral:rRNA from 1 species